AACUUCUUUCUCUCUCUACAUUCUUCUCUAUGUCCCUCUAUCUAAAACGCCAAAGCAACCUUCUCUCAUUCUACAACCCUUCCUCCUUCUUGUCUCUUGCCUUUCUUUGAAUCUAACAACGAUGAAGAAGCAUGAUACUUGACAUAAAGCCCAAUUCAUGGAAAUGCAAAUCGAAACAUAUGGGAAGAAUAGAAAGUAGUUUUUUUUUUUGGAUCAAGAAAUGGAUGUGUGAAUAUAUAUGGAGACUAUGGCGAUAAUUAGUUGGUUGAUAAAUAUUUAAUUUGCAAAUAAUUUGGAGGCCAUGCUUAGCAAGUUGUUAUAUUUAAAGUUGUUUUAAUAUGUGGUUAAACGGUAUCCUUUAUUGUGAAGCAAACUGGCUGUGUUAGAUAGUGAUUAUUUAGAGUUUUGUUGUUACAUUUGAAUUAUGCAUCAAUUCAUAAUUUUUGUGCUACUAUUUAAACCCUUCUUUAAACUUGGAUAAAUUUCAUAGUGUUACAUAUGCACAAAUAGUUUGAUAAAAUUCUUAAGUGAUGUAUCAUUGGCCUUUUUUAAAAAUGGCAUUUUUCAUACAAUAUAACAAAAGUUGCCAACAAAUUUUUUUAUUUGGAUUAUGUUUCUCCAACUUAAAAUGAAUUACUGGCUUCUAGGGAUGGCACCUAUUCUUUGAACUUGAUUUUGGGUUUCUUUUGAUUCUAUUCUUUUAGAAGACAUAUACAUUCUCCAAUUGUAAGUUUUGGUUUGGUUGACAGAUCUUGAAUUGGCAAGCAAGAAGAAGCUACCUUUAGUAGUUUUAAGGUUGGUAAUUAAAGUCAUUCAUUAACCUAGCAGAUGUUCAGGAUUGUGUUUGGUUCUAAAGGGAAAUUCAGUUUAAUUCAAGGUCAUCAAAGCUGUUGGCCAAUAUCCUGUACUCAUGGGCCUAUCUGUUGGGAACUUAAUUGCUUGAUGAGAUGAAAUGGUAAGUGUUUUUUCUUGAAUCGUCUUUUUGGGUUGCUUUGAAUUAAUCUAUUCUAUAGGUGUUCUUUUGGUGUUGCAUAACAUAUGCUCAAUGAAAUCUCUUUUAAAUUUGAUGUGAAAUCUUUCCAUUCAAAGUUUUUCCCCCUCCUCAUGUUGUGAUAAAUCUAAGUAGCUAUACUAUAGUUAUAAAAAAUUAAUUUUGCUAUGCAAAUGAUUAAUUUGGUUAUAAUAGAAAUUUCCCAAAUAUAUUUAUUUAAAUAAAAAAUUAAUUUGAUUGUAGACAACUUAACUACUUUUAUGACUCCAUGAAUUGACUAAUAUGUCAUUUACUAUGAUAUACAACAAAUUUUGUGCAUAUUGUUUAUAGUUUUAAUUUUCUUUCUUGCUUGCUUUGCACUUCCUACGAAUGGUUUAAAUUUUUUUUUCAUUGCUUGCUUUGACUAAUUUUUCUUAUUGUUGAUUUCAUCAAAGAGCAGUAUUACCAACAAAAUAAAAAUAAAAAAUAAAAAAAAGAGAAAGGGAGAAUUGAGGCUGUGGGUCAUAACAAGUAGGCUUUUUAUUUUUUUAUUUAUAAUUUUAAAUGUACUGUUAUGAUUUUAUGAGAUUGCUAUGCCCCUUUGUAAAUUAUUAGCCAUUUGCUCUAACCUCUAAAUUUGAAAUGAUGUCCUAGGACUAUAUAAUGGUUGUUGGAGCAUCAAAGCCAACUGCAAUGGCUGAUGCUAAUAGGUUUUCCAGUAUGAAAAGGUAGAAUGUUGGUGAGUUUUAUUUAGUUUCAAUUUAUUUAUAAUGUAUAAACUAUGUUUCACAUCUCCGACUUUAUGAAGUUUGACGAGUCCAAACAAGUUCCUAUAAGUACACUUUGGUGAGAUUUUUUAUCUUCAAAGAAUUGGCAUAACAAUUAUCAUGGAAUUUAUUGUAGCAUAGGAACUAUAAAGCAACCUGCUAUACAUAGCCAUGAAUUUUUAUUGGGUAAAAUACUAUUUUGGUCCCUAAACAUUGACCAAAAAAAAUUUUUCAUCCAUAAACUUUAAAAAGUUCUUUUUUCAUCCCUAAACUUUGUAAAUAGUUUUUUUUAAUGGUUUAGAGACAAAAAUAGGGAUGAAAAGGAACUGAUUUCAAUAAUUUAGGGAUGAAAAGUAAAGUUUAAGGACAUAAAUAAAACAAUUCAAUAGUUUAGGGAUGAAAAAUGAACUUUUCAAAAGUUUAGGGACGAAGAAUGAACUCCUUAAAGUUCAGGGAUGAAAAACAAACUUUUGAUAAAGUUUAGGGACCAAAAUAAUAUUUUACCCAUUUUGAUUCUAUAUAUCUAUUAUACCAAGCAAUGAUUGAUGCUUUUGAAUGCUUCAGAUUCUAUCCAUGAUUUUUUCGGUUUUCAUGGAUAAUCUAUUGUUUCAGGUUUAGGUUAUUCACGAUACUCAGAUUCAGAGUUUGAACUUUUGGGAUUAAGUUUACUGUAUAUGAUUGCAUCAUUGUGGUGUCCUUCAUUGCUUUGAGAAGUAAAUUUUGACUUGAACAAAUAAGAUGAACUAAAGUAUGAAUGAAAUAAGAUGCAUGUAGCUGUGUUGUCAAUUGCCAUUACUCGUUAGCUAUUAAAAUCAAAAACAAAUUUACGUGUAAUUAAUCAAUUAGUCAUAUGGUUACUCUUUCUUCUUCUUUUUCAGGAACAACCUUAACAAACAACUUCUACUCGAUUUUUUAAUUUUUACUUUUGGGAAGUAAACUUCGAUGUUCCUUCCAGAGAAAAAGUUAUACAAACAUUACAAGAAAAGAUGCCCCAAAUUGAAUCCCCAAGGAAAUAAUGGUUUGAGUAAAGCACCAUCCAUUCUAUUUUUUUUA